rnacentral:rRNA from 1 species
CCAAGGAGUCUAACAUGCGCGCAAGUCGUUGGGUCGGACACGCUCCGCUAAACCCAUAGGCGCAAUGAAAGUGAAGGCCGCCGUCGGGGCGGCCGAGGGAGGACGGGGCCGCCCGGGAGCUCCGGCUCCCGUCGGUCCCCGCACCCCCGGGGCGUCUGAUCCCUCAUCGCGAGGGGAGGCGCACCCAGAGCGCACACGUUGGGACCCGAAAGAUGGUGAACUAUGCCUGGCCAGGACGAAGUCAGGGGAAACCCUGAUGGAGGUCCGUAGCGAUUCUGACGUGCAAAUCGAUCGUCGGAGCUGGGUAUAGGGGCGAAAGACUAAUCGAACCAUCUAGUAGCUGGUUCCCUCCGAAGUUUCCCUCAGGAUAGCUUGCGCUCGGAGGAGAGUCUCAUCCGGUAAAGCGAAUGAUUAGAGGCCUUGGGGCCGAAACGGCUUCAACCUAUUCUCAAACUUUAAAUGGGUGAGAACUCCGGCUUGCUCGACCGAUCGAAGCCGGAGACGGGGUCCGUCCCUCGGGGCGGGCCCCCGGGAUCGGAGUGCAUAGUGGGCCACUUUUGGUAAGCAGAACUGGCGCUGUGGGAUGAACCAAACGACGGGUUAAGGCGCCCGAAUCGACGCUCAUGGGAAACCAUGAAAGGUGUUGGUUGCUUAAGACAGCAGGACGGUGGCCAUGGAAGUCGGAAUCCGCUAAGGAGUGUGUAAUAACUCACCUGCCGAAGCAACUAGCCCUGAAAAUGGAUGGCGCUGAAGCGUCGUGCCUAUACCCGGCCGUCGCGGCACGGCGGACCCGGCCUCGCGUCGGGUGCCGCUUGAUGCGGCGACGAGUAGGAGGGUCGCGGCGGCGCGCGCAGAAGGGUCUGGGCUCGAGCCUGCCUGGAGCCGCCGCCGGUGCAGAUCUUGGUGGUAGUAGCAAAUACUCCAGCGAGGCCCUGGAGGACUGAUGUGGAGAAGGGUUUCGUGUGAACAGCCGUUGCACACGAGUCAGUCGAUCCUAAGCCCUAGGAGAAAUCCGACGCCAACGGCGACGGGAAAAAUGAAAUCUAUUGAGAAAACGACCCGUUGAUCGGGCGAAAGGGAAUCCGGUUCCUAUUCCGGAACCCGGCAGCGGAACCGCUGUUUGUCGGGCCCUCAAAAGGGGUUCGUCAGGGUAACCUAAAAGGGCCCGGAGACGCCGUCGGGAGCCCCGGAAAGAGUUUUCUUUUCUGCAUGAGCGUUCGAGUUCCCUGGAAUCCUCUCGCAGGGAGAUAGGGUUUGGAACGCGAAAGAGCACCGCAGUUGCGGCGGUGCCCGGGAAUUCNCGACGGAACUUGAAAAUCCGGGAGAGGGCCCACGUGGAAGGU